GACAGAGGUGCCUAGCGUUAGGCGGAAUCACUGGGCUUAAAGCGUGUGUAGGCGGAUCGUUAAGUACCUUGUGAAAUCCCCCGGCUCAACCGGGGAACUGCUGGGUAUACUGGCGAUCUUGAGCGAUCUAGGGGCAGAUGGAACAAGUGGUGGAGCGGUGAAAUGCGUAGAUAUCAUCUGGAACGCCAAUGGUGAAGACAGCUCGCUGGGGGUGUACUGACACUGAGACACGAAAGCCAGGGGAGCAAACGGG
rnacentral:rRNA from 1 species